UUAAAGUUUCUCGAAUGACCUGCUCCCUCUGCUCAAUUUCCUCCACUUUAGGUCAUCCGUACUCACGGCUUCAAGAAAAUUCACCAUGCUCCAAAGUGUUGAGUGAUGCUGUGGACACACUAGAUCUGCUGGAUCUACCGCAAUCAACUUCUUCGAGAGCAUUAUGGAUUUACAAAGGAGCAGGAGACAAGUAAACAU